CUACUACUCCCUCCGUCCGAAAAUACUUGUCAUUGAAAUGGAUGUAUCUAGAUGUAUUUUAGUUCUAGACACAUCCAUUUUGAUGAUAAGUAAUUCCGGACGGAGAGAGUAUUAU
rnacentral:pre_miRNA from 1 species